rnacentral:rRNA from 1 species
UACGGAGGGUGCGAGCGUUGUCCGGAAUCACUGGGCGUAAAGGGCGCGUAGGCGGCUUCUCAAGCGUGUGGUGAAAGUCCGGGGCUCAACCUCGGAUCGGCCGUGGCGACUCGUGGGCUGGAGCACUGUAGAGGCGGGUGGAAUUCCGGGUGUAGCGGUGGAAUGCGUAGAGAUCCGGAAGAACACCAGUGGCGAAGGCGGCCCGCUGGGCAGUGGCUGACGCUGAGGCGCGACAGCGUGGGGAGCAAACAGG